rnacentral:piRNA from 1 species
UAGGUCCAAGGAAAUGAGCCUGGUAGAGGAA